AGAGAGGCAGACCACACUCAGCGAUUCUCUCAUCCCACCCAUUUCAGAAGGAGGCUCUCAAAGCUUGACUCUUGAUAGUGGGAAGAAGAGACUCAUGUGCUGGGAAAUUAUCUCCACGUGUCUCCAUUAUAACCAGUAUCUCUCAGCUGGGUUCGCUGUCUGCAUUCACAGACGAAGACAUUUUCACUGGAUCAUGCUUAAUGCUUUCAUGAAGCCCUAAAGAGACUGAAGAGCUUUCUAGAUCAUCAAACGAAUUGUGGAUCCUAUACUUCCAAUUACUGGAUGAAGAGUACUUGAUCGUGGUGGAUAAUCUUUUUGAGGUGUUCUUGGAUUCGGCUUGCAAGUAUUUUAUUGACAAGUUUUUGCAUCUUUAUUCAUAAGGGAAAUUGUUCUAUAAUUUUUUGUUGGGUCUUUGUGUGGUUUGGUAUGAGGAUAAUAGUAGCUUUUUAGUAAGAAUUGGACAACAUUCCUUUAGUUUCUAUUUUGUGAAAUUAUUUGAGGAUUAUUGGCAUUAAUUCUUCUUUGAAGAUCUGGUAGAAUCUGCACUGAAUUCAUCUGGCCUUCUGUUAUUUUUAUUGGAACUUUCAAUUACUGCUUCAACUUUACUAGGGAUAAUGGGAAUAUUUAAAGACUUAUCUAGCCUUGAUUUAACUUUGGGAGAUCAAAUAUACCAAGAAAUUAAUCCAUUUCUCUUUAGGCUUUCCAGUUUGGUAGAGUACAGUUUUUUUUAUAUAUAUAUAAACACUUUAUAUAUAAAGUACCCUCAUGAUUCUCAGAGUUUCCUCAGUGGCUGUUGUAAUGUCUCCCUCUUCAUUUUUAAUUUGUUUAAUUUGGAUCCUCUCUCUCAUAUUUUUGGUAAUUUGAUUACGGGUUUGUCUAUCUUGUUGAUUUUCUCAAAGAACCAACUCUUCUUUUUAUUGAUUCUUUGUAUUAGUUUUUGUUUGUUGUUUCUAUUUCAGUGACAUUAGACCUGAGUUUGAUUAUUUCUUGCCAUCUACUUUUUUUAGUUUAUUAUUUCUUCUUGUUGUUUCAGAGCUUUCAAGUGUGUUGUUAGGUUACUAAUAUGAGACCUCUCCUCCUUCUUCUCCUUUGUAGGCACUUGGUGCUAUGAACUUGCCUCUCAGACCUGUCUUCAUUGUGUCCCAAAUAUUUGGAUAUGUUAUGUUUUCAUUUUCAUUCAAUUCUAAAAUAUUUUUAAUUUUUUGAUUUGUCUUGAUUCAUUUCUCAUUCACUAAUGAGUUCAAUUUCCUUGAGUUUGUAAGCUUUCUGUUGUUUCUGUUAUAGCUUUCCAGCUUUAAUCCCUGGUGGUAAGAUAGGAUGCAGGGUGUUAUUUAAAUUCUUACAUCUGUUGAGACUUGCUUUGUGUCCUAGUAUGUGGUACUUUGGAGGAAGUUCCAUGAGCUGCCGAGAAUAAAGUAUAUUCUCUAGUGUUUGGGUAGAACAUUCUAUAGAUGUCUGGUGGGGACAUUUAAUUUAUAUUGUUUUUUAACUCCAGAAUUUCUCUGUUCAAUUUUUGUCUUAAUGACCUGCUUAUCAGCAAGAAUUGGGUGUUUAAGCCAAUCACAAUCACUGCAUGAGAGUCAAUGUGUGAUUUUAGCUAUAGGAGUUUGUUUUAUGAACUUGGGUACCCUUAUGUUUGGUGCAUUGUUGCUGGAUCCUAAGAGCUCCCUUGGGGAGGAAGGGAUAAGGCGUAGCUUCAAUGAUACAGACACUGGGAGUCAGUUGAAGGCAAACAGCAGACUCGUUUAUUCAAUAACUGGAAAGGCCUUAUUUUAUUAUAAGACCCAAACUAUGUCCCAAUCUGGUGGCAUUGCAUGGUUGUCUCUCAUUGGCUGAGCACAAUCAGGAACUCUGACAGUGAUCAGGAACUCUAACAGCACCUGUUGCUAGGCCCUCAGGCAGACUCCAGGUUGGCUCAUAAGGAAGUACAUCAUGUGCAUGCCUGGGCAACUGGUUGGAGCCAAUUUCCUCUUGCUACAGUACACAGAUGUUAAGAAUUACAAUAUCAUCUUGAUGGA